AAAGAAACUGUGGGAGGGACGGAGAGGAAAAGCCGGGGACACAGAAGUGGCGAUCGGAAAAGGAGAGGGAGAUCAUCUACUUCUCUUCUACUACUACCGUUAGAUUGCAUGUCUCACAUUCCAUUUCGUCCGCGGGGACUGGUAAUUUUUUCCAAAGCUUCUAAACAAUCGCCCGCCAACUUAAAGAGGAGCCUGAGCGCGCCGAGCUCUCUCCUUCCAGGAUUUAGGAUCCAUCUCCACGCGUUUUGGCAAUGAGCUAGAAACGAAAACACAGCCCCCACUUCACGAUUAUUCAGAAAUUAUUUUGAGGAAAAUUCACAUGACGUGAUAACGAGUCAUACUGCGGUGGAUCGGCAUGCACCCUGUCCCCCUUCUUACCUCCCAGAAUUACCUCAGUAUCAUAGCGUAGGUGCUUUGGAGAAAACUGACUCCUCCUAGCAAUAAGUCUUCAGUUGCUUUAAGCUUUAAGCACAUUCUUUCAGUCCUCUGAUCAUUGUCAUUUGUCCAGGGGUGGGCAUGGACUUUAGUGGUACCAAAAAAAAUCUCGCAUUCCUAUUUGAAAUGCUGAGACAGAAGUACAGGCUCUCACUUUCUCUGCAGUUGGCAGAGAGGGAAUGUGGUCUCGAUUGCUUCUGGCAAACAUUGUGCAGUCAUGUUGGAAAGGGGACUUGAAAUGAAGCGAAGAUUCCAGAAAACAGAACAAACCAAAAGAAAUGGUGACCACUAUAACUGGCAACUGUGGAGCCUGCCCUAUCUCUGGACAUUCAGUUACUGGGGCUAAUAAAGCCUGGUUUACUUUGUUGUCUGUGCCAUUUGACUUUGCUUUCUUGAUG
rnacentral:lncRNA from 1 species